UACGUAGGGUGCAAGCGUUGUCCGGAGUUAUUGGGCGUAAAGCGCGCGCAGGCGGCCUCGCGCGCCCGACGUGAAAGCCCCCGGCUUAACCGGGGAGGGUCGUUGGGGACGGCGGGGCUUGAGGGCGGGAGAGGUCGGUGGAAUUCCCGGUGUAGUGGUGAAAUGCGUAGAGAUCGGGAGGAACACCUGUGGCGAAGGCGGCCGACUGGGCCGACCCUGACGCUGAGGCGCGAAGGCGUGGGGAGCGAACGGG
rnacentral:rRNA from 1 species